rnacentral:rRNA from 1 species
AUACGGAGGGUGCAAGCGUUAUUCGGAAUCACUGGGCGUAAAGGACGCGUAGGCGGCUGGGCAAGUCAGAUGUGAAAUCCUACAGCUUAACUGUAGAACUGCAUUUGAAACUGCUAACCUAGAGUAUGGGAGGGGGAGAUGGAAUUAGUGGUGUAGGGGUAAAAUCCGUAGAUAUCACUAGGAAUACCGAAAGCGAAGGCGAUCUCCUGGAACAUAACUGACGCUAAGGCGUGAAAGCGUGGGGAGCAAACAGGAUUAGAAACCCCAGUAGUCC